rnacentral:rRNA from 1 species
UACAGAGGGUGCAAGCGUUACUCGGAAUUACUGGGCGUAAAGCGCGCGUAGGUGGUUUGUUAAGUUGGAUGUGAAAGCCCCGGGCUCAACCUGGGAACUGCAUCCAAAACUGGCAAGCUAGAGUACGGUAGAGGGUGGUGGAAUUUCCUGUGUAGCGGUGAAAUGCGUAGAUAUAGGAAGGAACACCAGUGGCGAAGGCGACCACCUGGACUGAUACUGACACUGAGGUGCGAAAGCGUGGGGAGCAAACAGG